rnacentral:rRNA from 1 species
AUUGAACGCUGGCGGCAGGCCUAACACAUGCAAGUCGAACGAGUGGCGGACGGGUGAGUAAUGUCUGGGACACUGCCUGAUGGAGGGGGAUCACUACUGGAAACGGUAGCUAAUACCGCAUACCAUCAGAUGUGCCCAGAUGGGAUUAGCUAGUAGGUGGGGUAACGGCUCACAAAGGCGACGAUCCCUAGCUGGUCUGAGAGGAUGAUCAGCCACACUGGGACUGAGACACGGGCCAGACUCCGACGGGAGGCAGCAGUGGGGAAUAUUGCACAAUGGGCGCAAGCCUGAUGCAGCCAUGCCGCGUGUAUGAAGAAGGCCUUAGGGUUGUAAAGUACUUUCAGCGGGGAGGCGUUACCGGCAGAAGAAGCACCGGCUAACUCCGUGCCAGCAGCCGCGGUAAUUC